rnacentral:lncRNA from 1 species
CUGAUACCGAACGAGGCAUAAAUAAUUCUGAUUACAUUAAAGUAAUAAGAUAAUUCUGAUGCCGAACGAGGCAUAAAUAAUUCUGAUUACAUUAAAGUAAUAAGAUAAUUCUGAUGCCGAACGAGACAUAAAUAAUUCUGAUUACAUUAAAGUAAUAAGAUAAUUCUGAUGCCGAACGAGGCAUACAUAAUUGAUUACAUUAAAGUAAUAAGAUAAUUCUGAUGCCGAACGAGACAUAACUAAUUCUGAUUACAUUAAAGUAAUAAGAUAAUUCUGAUGCCGAACGAGGCAUAAAUAAUUCUGAUUAAAGUAAUAAGAUAAUUCUGAUGCCGAACGAGACAUAAAUAAUUCCGAUUACAUUAAAGUAAUAAGAUAAUUCUGAUGCCGAACGAGACAUAAAUAAUUCUGAUUACAUUAAAGUAAUAAGAUAAUUCUGAUGCCGAACGAGGCAUAAAUAAUUCUGAUUACAUUAAAGUAAUAAGAUAAUUCUGAUG